rnacentral:rRNA from 1 species
GGAUCUUACCGGGUCCGGACACACUGAGGAUUGACAGACAAACAAUUUAUAUUGUUACAAAGAUGCUAGUUCUUUCAUGAUUAUGUGAUAGGUGGUGCAUGGCCGUUCUUAGUUCGUGGAGUGAUCUGUCUGCUUAAUUGCGUUUCAAUAUUUAAAUAUGUAUACGUAUGACCCAAUAACUAUGUUGUUGUGUGUCUAGUAUUACUAUCAUUUGAAAGCAACGAACGUGACCGUAUCCUUUUAUUAUAUACACACAUGUAUAUUGUUUUUAAAGGGACCGCUGUUUCUUUCUUUUAAACCAGAGGAAGGUUACGGCAAUAACAGGUCUGUGAUGCCCUUCGAUGUUCCGGGCUGCACACGUGCUACAAUGAUCAUUUCAUUAAGUAUCUUGUGU